rnacentral:rRNA from 1 species
UAAAGAUUCAUCGCUGAUAGAUAGGCAUGCGUUCCAUUAGGCAGUUGGCGGGGUAACGGCCCACCAAACCGACGAUGGAUAGGGGUUCUGAGAGGAAGGUCCCCCACAUUGGUACUGAGACACGGACCAAACUCCUACGGGAGGCAGCAGUGAGGAAUAUUGGUCAAUGGGCGUAAGCCUGAACCAGCCAAGUCGCGUGAGGGAUGAAGGUUCUAUGGAUCGUAAACCUCUUUUAUAAGGGAAUAAAGUGUGGGACGUGUCCUGUUUUGUAUGUACCUUAUGAAUAAGGAUCGGCUAACUCCGUGCCAGCAGCCGCGGUAAUACGGAGGAUCCGAGCGUUAUCCGGAUUUAUUGGGUUUAAAGGGUGCGUAGGCGGCCUUUUAAGUCAGCGGUGAAAGUCUGUGGCUCAACCAUAGAAUUGCCGUUGAAACUGGGAGGCUUGAGUAUGUUUGAGGCAGGCGGAAUGCGUGGUGUAGCGGUGAAAUGCUUAGAUAUCACGCAGAACCCCGAUUGCGAAGGCAGCCUGCCAAGCCAUGACUGACGCUGAUGCACGAAAGCGUGGGGAUCAAACAGGAUUAGAUACCCUGGUAGUCCACGCAGUAAACGAUGGUCACUAGCUGUUUGCGAUACAGUGUAA